GGUAGCGAAAUUCCUUGUCGGGUAAGUUCCGACCCGCACGAAAGGUGUAACGAUUUGGGCACUGUCUCAACGAGGGACCCGGUGAAAUUGAAAUACCUGUGAAGAUGCAGGUUACCCGCGACUGGACAGAAAGACCCCAUGGAGCUUUACUGUAACCUGACAUUGGGUUUUGUUGUAUUACGUACAGGAUAGGUGGGAGGCUUAGAAGGCUGGACGCUAGUCUGGCUGGAGCCGGCGUUGGGAUACCACCCUUGAUACAACGGAAUUCUAACCGAGAGAGUAACGAAAUCCGGGACAGUGUCAGGCGGGCAGUUUGACUGGGGCGGUCGCCUCCGAAAGAGUAACGGAGGCGCCCAAAGGUUCCCUCAGCGCGGCCGGAAAUCGCGCGAAGAGUGUAAAGGCAGAAGGGAGCUUGACUGCGAGCCAAACACGGCGAGCAGGUACGAAAGUAGGGCUUAGUGAUCCGGUGGUACCGAGUGGAAGGGCCAUCGCUCAACGGAUAAAAGCUACCCUGGGGAUAACAGGCUAAUCUCUCCCAAGAGUCCAUAUCGACGGGGAGGUUUGGCACCUCGAUGUCGGCUCAUCACAUCCUGGGGCUGAAGUCGGUCCCAAGGGUUGGGCUGUUCGCCCAUUAAAGUGGUACGUGAGCUGGGUUCAGAACGUCGUGAGACAGUUCGGUCCCUAUCCAUCGCGGGCGCAAGAGAUUUGAAGGGGUCUGCUCCUAGUACGAGAGGACCGGAGUGGACGGACCGCUGGUGUACCAGUUAUUCCGCCAGGAGUACAGCUGGGUAGCUACGUCCGGACUGGAUAAACGCUGAAAGCAUCUAAGCGUGAAGCCAUCCUUAAGAUGAGAUCUCUCACAGAGAAAUCUGGUAAGACACCUUAAAGAAGAUGAGGUAGAUAGGCCGGGAGUGUAAGUGCAGCAAUGUAUUGAGCUGACCGGUACUAAUAUGUCGAGGGCUUGACUUC
rnacentral:rRNA from 1 species